UACGUAGGGGGGCUAGCGUUGUCCGGAAUCAUUGGGCGUAAAGCGCGUGUAGGCGGCCCGGUAAGUCCGCUGUGAAAGUCGGGGGCUCAACCCUCGGAUGCCGGUGGAUACUGUCGGGCUAGAGUGCGGGAAGAGGCGAGUGGAAUUCCUGGGUGUAGCGGUGAAAUGCGUAGAGAUGUGGGAGGAACACCGAUGGCGAAGGCAGCCCCCUGGGUCGACACCUGACGCUCAUGCACGAAAGCGUGGGGAGCAAAC
rnacentral:rRNA from 1 species